GACGAACUGUCCUAACGUUGUUCGGAAUCACUGGGCUUAAAGGGCGCGUAGGCGGUCCGACAAGUCAGGGGUGAAAUCCUGCAGCUUAACUGCAGAAGUGCCUUUGAUACUGUCGGUCUGGAGGGAGAUAGGGGUGUGCGGAACUCACAGUGGAGCGGUGAAAUGCGUUGAUAUUGUGAGGAACGCCGGAGGCGAAAGCGGCGCACUGGAUUUCUUCUGACGCUGAGGCGCGAAAGCUAGGGGAGCAAACGGG
rnacentral:rRNA from 1 species